UAUUUUCUUAAUGGCUCACAAGAAGCUUGAAAGAAAUGUCAGUUUUGGAGUCUAAGGACAGACGCUAUCAGGCUGGUCAGGAAAAGUGAAGUGUACUGGCAGGAAGACUAGAGGCUACUGAGUUUCUAGAAGUGCUGUCACCUCACACCUUAUAUACGGGCACUUAUUGGUUCAUGCAGAAAGCAACAACUACUGAGUUGAACAUGUUCAACAUGUGGAAUCUUCUUCAGAGACAGACAAUUCUUAGGAUGAUAAAAUGUUAGACCUGGAUGGGAGCCUGACAGUCACCUAAUUGAACACCUUCUUUUGGGGGAAGAAAAUUGAAGCUCAAGAUGUUAUGUAACAGAGCUAAGUAAUAACAUACAUAUAAAUUGAUCAGUUAGAAAAAUUACAUGAUCAUAUCAAUAAAUGUUGAAAGUA